rnacentral:rRNA from 1 species
GCGUGAGUGAAGAAGGCCUUAGGGUUGUAAAGCUCUUUUAGUGGGGACGAUAAUGACGGUACCCACAGAAUAAGCCCCGGCUAACUUCGUGCCAGCAGCCGCGGUAAUACGAAGGGGGCUAGCGUUGUUCGGAAUCACUGGGCGUAAAGCGCAUGCAGGCGGACUGAUCAGUCGGGGGUGAAAGCCCGGGGCUCAACCUCGGAACUGCCUUCGAUACUGUCAGUCUUGAGUCCGGGAGAGGUGAGUGGAAUUCCUAGUGUAGAGGUGAAAUUCGU